rnacentral:rRNA from 1 species
GGAAACAGAUGCUAAUACCGCAUAACAACGUUGUUCGCAUGAACAACGCUUAAAAGAUGGCUUCUCGCUAUCACUUCUGGAUGGACCUGCGGUGCAUUAGCUUGUUGGUGGGGUAACGGCCUACCAAGGCGAUGAUGCAUAGCCGAGUUGAGAGACUGAUCGGCCACAAUGGGACUGAGACACGGCCCAUACUCCUACGGGAGGCAGCAGUAGGGAAUCUUCCACAAUGGGCGCAAGCCUGAUGGAGCAACACCGCGUGAGUGAAGAAGGGUUUCGGCUCGUAAAGCUCUGUUGUUAAAGAAGAACACGUAUGAGAGUAACUGUUCAUACGUUGACGGUAUUUAACCAGAAAGUCACGGCUAACUACGUGCCAGCAGCCGCGGUAAUACGUAGGUGGCAAGCGUUAUCCGGAUUUAUUGGGCGUAAAGAGAGUGCAGGCGGUUUUCUAAGUCUGAUGUGAAAGCCUUCGGCUUAACCGGAGAAGUGCAUCGGAAACUGGAUAACUUGAGUGCAGAAGAGGGUAGUGGAACUCCAUGUGUAGCGGUGGAAUGCGUAGAUAUAUGGAAGAACACCAGUGGCGAAGGCGGCUACCUGGUCUGCAACUGACGCUGAGACUCGAAAGCAUGGGUAGCGAACAGGAUUAGAUACCCUGGUAGUCCAUGCCGUAAACGAUGAGUGCUAGGUGUUGGAGGGUUUCCGCCCUUCAGUGCCGGAGCUAACGCAUUAAGCACUCCGCCUGGGGAGUACGACCGCAAGGUUGAAACUCAAAGGAAUUGACGGGGGCCCGCACAAGCGGUGGAGCAUGUGGUUUAAUUCGAAGCUACGCGAAGAACCUUACCAGGUCUUGACAUCUUGCGCCAACCCUAGAGAUAGGGCGUUUCCUUCGGGAACGCAAUGACAGGUGGUGCAUGGUCGUCGUCAGCUCGUGUCGUG